GUUUAAAGAUCUAAUUUUUAUAAUUUUUUUUAGAAAAUAAUAAUAUAAUGUUUCAAAAUUAUAAAAUGAUAAAUAAUUAGAAGUGAAAGGCUAACCAUUUUAAACGAUAUCUGGAUUAACUUUAAAUGUAUUUAGUACAGAUUAUAAUUUUAAUAUAAAAAUGUUAAGGUUUUUAUAUGUAAGAAUUUUUUUUAAAAUUUAAAAGAGGAUUAAUAUCUCACUUAUUGUUAAAUUACUAAUAAAUUAAAUAUUAAUCUUUUUGUUAAGGUUAAAUUAAAAGGAACUAUCUUUCUUAAUUUACUAUGUUUAAAUAAGUAUUUGUAUCAUUCCUAAUUAAGGAACUCGGCAAAAUAAUUACUCAACUGUUUAUCAAAAACAUAGCAUAAUGAUAUUAUAUUAUGUAAGGCCUGCCCGGUGAAUUUUUAACGGCCGCAGUAUUUUGACUGUGCUAAGGUAGCAUAAUAAGUUGGCUUUUAAUUGAAGUCUUGUAUUAAUGGAUUUAUGGGUAAACACUGUCUUGAUUAGGGUUAUAAAAAAUUACUUUAAAAGGUGAAAAUUCCUUUAUAUUUUAAUUAGACGAGAAGACCCUUGGAGUUUAUUUAACAUGAAAAAAUGUAAUAUUUUGUUGGGGCGACAACGUAGCAUUUAACCUACGAUUUUAUAUAGUAUUUAACGAUUUUUAAUAAUAAGAAUUAAACUACCCUAGGGAUAACAGCAUAAUUUUUUAAAAGUUUGUGACCUCGAUGUUGGACUAGGAAAUUUUAACAUUAACAAUGUUAAAAAUUUGUUCUGUUCGAACUUUUGUUCCUACAUGAUCUGAGUUCAGAC
rnacentral:rRNA from 1 species